UGACAACAGAAACAGCCAAUUCAAUAGCAGAGUUGCUAGGGGGGGAUCACCCAGGAAGUGGAGGGGUGGGGUAAAAAAGAAAUUAAUGAUUGACAGCAGAAUUAGCCAACCACUAGCCCUGCAGAAGUGUAAUUAAAGUAACUGACAGCAGUUUAAGCCAAUUGCUACAUAGAAUGAAAGGUCCCGCUCAGGUCGGGGGUGACACCAAGCUGCUUCUGUGUGUGAGGAGAAUGGGGCCAGCCAAUGAAACAACAGAGGUGUUUCUCUAAGAGCCAAUCCCAUUGUUCGAGUUCUCUGCAGCAUUUCCUUGUCACACAUCGAGGGAGUGGUGGAUACACAGUGAAAAGAGAAGCUGAUACGAACUGAGCUUCCAUAAACACGCUGCGGCAAUGAAGAGAGAAGAGCAAUCUCUCAUCCUUUAAUCUCAGGCAAG